UAUAUGACGUACCGUCGGCAUAUGGACACGUCAUUGAAUUUUGUGUCUUCGUGGCCGGAAAGUUUGAUUUGGAAGAGUUUUUCUAAAUUUUAUAUUUAAUUUUAUAGGUUUUGUUCGACAUUGCAGUCAGCAUAAUUCAACAAGAGAUAUGGAUCAAAUCGUUAAAUUCGUUGAGCCAGGUCGUCAGUUUGCUAAGGACUCCAUUAGAUUAGUAAAAAGAUGUACAAAACCAGACAGAAAAGAAUUUCAAAAAAUAGCAAUAGCCACUGCCAUCGGAUUUUGUAUUAUGGGAUUUAUUGGAUUUUUUGUGAAACUUAUCCAUAUCCCAAUUAAUAAUAUUAUUGUAGGAUCAUAAAAGACGCUUUUUUUGUUAUACACAAUCUGCAACUAUUUUUUAUUCAUAGUUUAUUUAUUUUGUAUCAAUUUUUCAAAGUAAUUGGAUGUAUCAUCUGGUUAUGAUGUAUUAUUAGUUUUAGUUGUCUUAAGGCAUCAAUAAAACUAUUUUCUAUAAAUA